rnacentral:rRNA from 1 species
UGCAAGUCGAACGGUAGCACAGAGAGCUUGCUCUCGGGUGACGAGUGGCGGACGGGUGAGUAAUGUCUGGGAAACUGCCUGAUGGAGGGGGAUAACUACUGGAAACGGUAGCUAAUACCGCAUAACGUCGCAAGACCAAAGAGGGGGACCUUCGGGCCUCUUGCCAUCAGAUGUGCCCAGAUGGGAUUAGCUAGUAGGUGGGGUAACGGCUCACCUAGGCGACGAUCCCUAGCUGGUCUGAGAGGAUGACCAGCCACACUGGAACUGAGACACGGUCCAGACUCCUACGGGAGGCAGCAGUGGGGAAUAUUGCACAAUGGGCGCAAGCCUGAUGCAGCCAUGCCGCGUGUAUGAAGAAGGCCUUCGGGUUGUAAAGUACUUUCAGCGGGGAGGAAGGCGAUAAGGUUAAUAACCUUGUCGAUUGACGUUACCCGCAGAAGAAGCACCGGCUAACUCCGUGCCAGCAGCCGCGGUAAUACGGAGGGUGCAAGCGUUAAUCGGAAUUACUGGGCGUAAAGCGCACGCAGGCGGUCUGUCAAGUCGGAUGUGAAAUCCCCGGGCUCAACCUGGGAACUGCAUUCGAAACUGGCAGGCUGGAGUCUUGUAGAGGGGGGUAGAAUUCCAGGUGUAGCGGUGAAAUGCGUAGAGAUCUGGAGGAAUACCGGUGGCGAAGGCGGCCCCCUGGANNNNGACUGACGCUCAGGUGCNAAAGCGUGGGGAGCAAACNNGAUUAGAUACCCUGGUAGUCCACGCUGUAAAC